GAAAAAUUCACCAGCGUAGCUUCAAUGAAACAUUUAAAAUGUCUUGGGAUUAGUUAAUAAACAUUCUUAGUGCUGUUAACAAGGUUGGCCACAUGUGCUACAUGGUACACAGAUUGGCCCUAAUAUUUUUCUGUGUUCCUUGUGGAUGUCAUAUACUUUUCCAUCAACUGGGACAGAUUCAGUGAUCCAAGUCUUGGACCUGGGAAACCUACAGAUCAUGCUACAGGAUGUUUUCUACCUUGAAUUAUGAAACUGUGGGGCAGGGAAAAGGUCCAUAGAUUCUGAUGUGUGCCAGGAUUUAGAAUCUACAGAAUGAGAAGAAACCAAGGUGCAUGGCCCUGUUUGUCCUGAGGGAAAGGCUGAUCUGUAUCUGUCAUAGAAGGACCCUGGAAGUCUUCUUUAUGCUCUGUCUCCACCUGCUAAGUCUGCAGGGCUGGGCAGUGAAAGCCAAAGGAAUUAUUGAUGCUGUAAAUUUAAGGAAAUGAAGCAUUGCAGAAGAUAAUUUUCUUUUUGAUCCCUAGCCAGACGUCUUUUGAAAAGCUGCUAUAAAUCCAGUGUCCCUGAGAAGUGUCAUCUGUCCUCUCUCCCUGAAACCUCUGUGACUGCACUGAUUAUCCAGAGAGACUGCAUGGGGCCUCCUGAGUCCCAGGCACCCCUCCCUAGCACAGUGCCACAAACAACUGCUAUACUUGGAGGAGGAUAGUUCAUAAUUCCUGUCAGCCAGGAAAAUCACAGGAGUAAGAAAUGGAUAAAAGACUCUGGAAAAUGGACUCCAAAACACACCCAGGAGUUACAUAUGGAGCACUUAGCACAACAGAAUGAAGAUAAGUGAUGAGUUCUUCCUCAAAUGAUCGUGCAUCUUUCUACAUUUCCUGUCCUUUCCUCACCUGAGAAUCCUUGUCGCUUCUCAUUUGAUCCACUGAAUAUGAGACUUCACCUCCAUGCAAGUAAACAAAGGAUUUAAACUGGACAGACACACCCAAGUACUGAACUCGGGACCCCUCAGCUUCUUCACAGUGAUGAAGGAUAGGACAAUUGGGUCCCAUGGAAAUCUACAAACAACCCAGGCUGUUGCUCAAACAAUGGAUUGUUCUCUGAAAACUGACAGCAGGACCCCAUUACUGAGGACAACAUUCACACAACUCAUUGGACAUGGGUCAGAAGAAAUUUUGCCAAGAAUGACUCAUGAUUUCAGACUUAGACAAUACUGGAGGUGGAUAAAUGACAGGAGGAGGCAGCAGGCAUGAACUAGAGACGUGAAACUAGCUCUGUACAAAAGUGUUGGAAUUCUUAAUUGGAAAUACGGGACCGCCAAGCACAAAAAUUUCAUGUUUCCAGAACAUAUGAAAGGCACAGACUGCCUACUAGUAUCCAUUUUCAUCCUCUCUCCCCUCUUUCUGGUGAGCAAG
ensembl:lncRNA